UACGUAGGGGGCUAGCGUUGUCCGGAUUUAUUGGGCGUAAAGAGCGUGUAGGCGGCCAGGUAGGUCUGGUGUGAAAACUCGAGGCUCAACCUCGAGACGCCGGUUGAAACCAUCAGGCUAGAGUCCGGAAGAGGAGAGUGGAAUUCCCGGUGUAGCGGUGAAAUGCGCAGAUAUCGGGAAGAACACCCGUGGCUAAGGCGGCUCUCUAGUACGGUACUGACGCUGAGACGCGAAAGCGUGGGGAGCGAACAGG
rnacentral:rRNA from 1 species